rnacentral:tRNA from 1 species
ACUCUCUUAGUAUAGCAAUAGUACAGUUGACUUCCAAUCAACUAG